UGGGGAAUAUUGCACAAUGGGCGCAAGCUUGAUGCAGCCAUGCCGCGUGUGUGAAGAAGGCCUUCGGGUUGUAAAGCACUUUCAGCGGGGAGGAAGGCGAUAAGGUUAAUAACCUUGUCGAUUGACGUUACCCGCAGAAGAAGCACCGGCUAACUCCGUGCCAGCAGCCGCGGUAAUACGGAGGGUGCAAGCGUUAAUCGGAAUUACUGGGCGUAAAGCGCACGCAGGCGGUCUGUCAAGUCGGAUGUGAAAUCCCCGGGCUCAACCUGGGAACUGCAUUCGAAACUGGCAGGCUAGAGUCUUGUAGAGGGGGGUAGAAUUCCAGGUGGAGCGGUGAAAUGCGUAGAGAUCUGGAGGAAUACCGGUGGCGAAGGCGGCCCCCUGGACAAAGACUGACGCUCAGGUGCGAAAGCGUGGGGAGCAAACAGG
rnacentral:rRNA from 1 species